GUGGUCUGGAGGCCGGCAUGAGG
rnacentral:piRNA from 1 species